rnacentral:tRNA from 2 species
GUGGUUGUAGCUCAGUUGGUUAGAGCGUCGGAUUGUGGUUCCGAAGGUCGCCGGUUCGAGACCGGUCAUCCACC